UACGAAGGGUGCAAGCGUUACUCGGAAUUACUGGGCGUAAAGCGUGCGUAGGUGGUUCGUUAAGUCUGAUGUGAAAGCCCUGGGCUCAACCUGGGAAUUGCAUUUGAGACUGAAUAGCUAGGGUGCGGAAGAGGGAAGCGGAAUUUCCGGUGUAGCAGUGAAAUGCGUAGAUAUCGGGAGGAACAUCCGUGGCGAAGGCGGCCACCUGGACCAGCACUGACACUGAGGCACGAAAGCGUGGGGAGCAAACAGG
rnacentral:rRNA from 1 species